rnacentral:rRNA from 1 species
UGAACAUGCAGCAGGCCUAACACAUGAAGUCGAGCGGAAACGACAUCAACCAUCCUUCGGGUGCGCGGAUGGGCGUCGAGCGGCGGACGGGUGAGUAAUGCCUGGGAAAUUGCCCUGAUGUGGGGGAUAACCAUUGGAAACGAUGGCUAAUACCGCAUAAUAGCCCAGUUCUUCGGAAUUGGUCUCAAAGAGGGGGACCUUUUAGGCCUCUCGCGUCAGGAUAUGCCCAGGUGGGAUUAGCUAGUUGGUGAGGUAAGGGCUCACCAAGGCGACGAUCCCUAGCUGGUCUGAGAGGAUGAUCAGCCACACUGGAACUGAGACACGGUCCAGACUCCUACGGGAGGCAGCAGUGGGGAAUAUUGCACAAUGGGCGCAAGCCUGAUGCAGCCAUGCCGCGUGUGUGAAGAAGGCCUUCGGGUUGUAAAGCACUUUCAGCAGUGAGGAAGGUGGUGUAUUUAAUAGAUGCAUCAUUUGACGUUAGCUGCAGAAGAAGCACCGGCUAACUCCGUGCCAGCAGCCGCGGUAAUACGGAGGGUGCGAGCGUUAAUCGGAAUUACUGGGCGUACAGCGCAUGCAGGUGGUGUGUUAAGUCAGAUGUGAAAGCCCGGGGCUCAACCUCGGAACCGCAUUUGAAACUGCCAGACUAGAGUACUGUAGAGGGGGGUAGAAUUUCAGGUGUAGCGGAGAUAUGCGUAGAGAUCUGAUGGAAUACCGGUGGCGAAGGCAGCCCCCCUGUACAGAUACUGACACUCAGAUGCGAAAGCGUGGGGAGCAAGCAGGAUCUAGAUACCCUGGUAGUCCAACACUGCAGCCGAUUGUCGACUUAGUAGCGUUGUAGACCUUGGAGCAGUAGCCUUUCGGAGCAAACGCGUUAAGUAGGACAUCCUGGCGAGUACGAUCGCAUGCUUAGAAACUCAAAGCAGUUGACGA